UCCUUGAUGGCUUAGUGGUGAAGAACCUGCCUGCCAAUGCAGGAAACAUGGGUUUGAUCCCUGGUCCAGGAG
rnacentral:tRNA from 1 species